UUAAGUUCAGGGGGUAUCCUUACCUGAUCUGAGGUCAAACUACAAAAGUUUGAUUAUGACAAAGUCUAUCAGAGUAACUAAGCUAAUGGUAUUUCUACUAUGCUUGCUGCUACUGAAAACUUGCCAAUCAGUUUAAGAAGGGAACUGCUAGGCAGAUCCUCUUCCAAUACCAAGCAGAUGCUUGAGAUUAUACUGACGCU
rnacentral:misc_RNA from 1 species